rnacentral:rRNA from 1 species
UACAGAGGGUGCUAGCGUUGUUCGGAAUCAUUGGCGUAAGGGCGUGAUAGCGGUUUGUAAGUCAUGUGUGAAAUCCCUCGGCUCAACCGGGGAACGACGCAUGAAACUGGCAGCUAGAGUACCAAAGGAGGGGGGUGGAAUUCCCGGUGUAGCGGUAAAAUGCGCAGAUAAUCAGGAAGAACACCCGCGGCUAAGGCGGUUCUCUAGUACGGUACUGACGCUGAGACGCGAAAGCGUGGGGAGCGAACAGG